rnacentral:misc_RNA from 1 species
UGCUGCAUUGGAGAUCACAUCC